AUGAUAUGCCAUCUACAGGUGAGAGUCUUGGCACAACAGCUCCAGCACCUAGCGGGUGCAGAUAUUGCUAAGGUGACUGUUUCGCGUGCUGGUCUUCCACCUAGGCGUCGUAGCCCCCACAAGCAAUCAACAGACAUACCCAACGCACCAGCUGUAGCUAGGAGCAGCAGAGAUGAGUCUGGUUAUGUUCCUGCGUCCACACCGUUCCCGCCACCUGCCAAAAGCAAUGUUAUGGAGAAACCGGAAGACCGGAGUACAACUGAUGCAGGUGUCAAGCCGGGCACAAGUGAUGGAGGUGAAUGUCCGGAGCAGACUGCGCCUUUACCCGCAGUGAAAAUCCCUAGCUUAAAUCUGCGCACUUCCAAGCUCCCAGUCAAUGUUGGUGUCCCCUACAGCCCAAACAAGAAGAUUGUCAAGAAAGUUGCGGCUGAUACCGCUGACAACACGCCCCGCCCUACAAAUAAGACCGAUGAUUCUGCCGCGGCUGAUUCAGAUAUGUUUGUUGAUCUUUCACCAUGGGAUUUUGCCCCGGAAGUUGUUCGCGGUCCGACCAGUAGGCAUGAGAGGCACCCAAUGGCCUUCACCCCACUGAGAUUUAGCCUGGGCAUCAGUCAAGAUCAACCAGUUGUUCAAGAUCCUACGCCAGUUGUCUUUGCUUUCCCGGGAGGUAUGCCCGCAAUGAUGGCGCAGCCAAUGGUCGAGGGCAGGAAGGCUGUCAAGUUCGCAGAGCCGAUCAUCCAAGGUAUCCUAACCCACAUUUUGAUCCUUGCAGGCACCCCUGAGGAGAUUUUGCCGUCACUUGAUGAAGUUUACUGA
rnacentral:rRNA from 1 species